AACUUAAGAAAUAAAUAAAAUAAAACAUUCAUCUUCUUCCUUUGUGGAUUUUUCCACUGAAAGUUGAAUGCUAAAACACCAUUGAAGGGUUUGGAGUUUCGAUUGGCUUGUAACCUUGUAUGUUUCCAAGUUAUGGAUUGACUGGACAGAUUGAAUCGGAGCUCACACUAUCCAGUCAUCUUGGUAGCUUUUGUAUUUAAUUUUGGGAUGUGGCAUGUAUAUAGGUUUUUAUUGUUGAUAUGUAAAAUGUUAUGUCAUGAUGAUAUUUCUAGUUAAAUGGUUUGGUUAGGUAAUACUUAAUGUUAAGAAUUAGGUAAUGAUGCUUUGGAAUGGUAACUUGAUGUGUAUGUUUAUAUUUUGGCCAAAUUGGUUGAUGGAUUGAGCAUGGAAAGAUGACUAAUGUUAAGUGUCUUCUUGGUUGGGUUA